rnacentral:lncRNA from 1 species
GUAUCCUGACGAUGGAGAGUUCCACUGAAAUGGGUAAUUUUAAGUGCUUUUGAGCAUUAUUUGUUGUUUAUUGCUUGUAAAGUUGUAACUGCUGCAAUAAAAUGUUGUGUUCUGACUUAUGGAGGUAUCUUUUUGUCUCCAGGGAUGGAAAAGGGCGUCAAAUAUAACCGUGAUGAGUCGAGCAUGAUGCUUCUUCUCGAGCAUAAUUUUGUUUAGAGGGUGACGCUCAAAAGCAUAAUAUAAAAAUAUAAAGCGUAUUUGAUAAAUGCUAAAUUUUGGUGAAAGUUAAACCUGAACUUAGCCUAAGAGUCUUUAUAUAGAUCAGUUCUGAAGUGUCAAUCAAAAGUAUGUUGAAUGCAAACCGUAUGCGCCGCGCACAACAGAAAAGCGCGGGAUCAUGCGAAAUAAGUUCUACUUCAGUUGAUAAUCACUCGUGGCGCAAAGACGACAUAGACUGCGACAGUUUCUGUAUAAGUCGUCAAGAAUGCCCGGUAGGUCGAGAGCGCGUGGCAACGAAAGUCGUGAUGCUGGUUAUCGUAAAAAGGACAAGAAGAAAAAGUGUCCAUACAAAAGCAAUGGUCGCAUGCAAUCUCUGCAUGCGACACAAACGCGUCUGAGGCGACAAGAACCUCUAGUUUGGAUUGAACUCUGCAUCAUUAUGUAACAAGGUGAGUUCCACGUCUAACUUCGUUCUAAAGCGAAAGUGUUCCGCUGUUAUCAGUUUACCACCCACGUCUUACAUAACGAUUUUGCGCGCGUUCUCAAAGAUACGAUUUUACUAAUUUAGAAAUAAGUAUUAGCGAAACAAAAUCCUUUCAAUGCUGUAUUAGAUUUCAUCAUUAACUGAUUUUUUGCUCUAAUAUAAUGUCAUCUGAAUAAGAGAUGAACAAUGUGUCGUUACCAAUUUCAAAGACUAUAGGUUUUCUUCUGUGAAAGGGGCUCAACGUGAUAUUUAGACUAAAAAUUCGCUUGCGUUUGUGACCCCAAAUCUUCCAAGCAUACCUUUCUCAAAAUCACCAACGUAGCAAAAUGCCAUCGAAAAUGUUUGAAUAAUUUGCCUCAUGAGAAAUGUUUGAAGGCAAGGGCUGGGCUCUCGCUUAAUGACUAACGCAAAAGGAGGCAGUAGGUCCAGUUUGUUUUCGACCCGGGGAAGGGAGGGGGUAAAACAACCGAUAAAAUUUCAUUCAGCCGUAAUUUUACGCGUAACUUUUCCCUGAAAGAGAUAAAUGACGCGUGUUCCUUUGGCAAGCGAUUAUUUCCUUUUUCGCUGUUUUAGCGAAUAAAGGCUCGUGCUCCAUUUUGCUACGAAGGUAGAGGGCUAGUGAAUUUUCUUUGCGUUUGACGGAAAUACAUUCUGUUGUUCAAAGCACAUGCUGCUCAACGCAAUCUUGCUGUCAACCAAUCGAAUGCGGAGCCCACAUUAAUAUAUGCAAUAAAAAAAGUGAAUCAUUUGCCAAAAUCGCCAUUUUAAUUUUAAAUUUGACGCCUUCUUCGGCAAGAUAAAGUUAAAAUAGUACGGUAACGGUAUCGCAGCAUUGUAAAACGCCUUUACCAUGCCUGGAAAAUCAGGAUCUAGCGGGAAUUCGGGAACUGAUGCUGGAUAUCCUAGAGACAAUCCAAGCAGUGAAUCUAGGAAAGGCAAUGGAGGGGGAAGCUGGUUUUCAUGCAUGAUAUUGUGAUGAAAGAAGCGUGGUUCGCACCCCGUACAACACUUUAAGAAGACACUGGACACAAGAAAGAAAGAGUUGAUGAAGCCCUUGAACAUAGGACCGAAUGGAUUAUCUCUUAUCUCUGACGUGGAAGAGGUUUACUUUUAACAGUUUGCGAGACCGAGACUUUUGUUGCCUGAGACAUUUGUAGUUUAGUAGAACAUUAACUUUGCGCGAUCUCAUGAUAUUAUAAUCUCGUGUGUUUAAGUGUAUGUUUCACUUCUAGGUUAAGUUGCUUGCAUAAUUUUGGGCAUUAUGCCAUAGUCUGAGAAUCGAGCAUAAUGCUGGCAUAAUGGAUAUUUUUUCAGCAUGAAGAGAGUAAUAAUAAUAUAUAAAAUUAAUAUUUUCAUAACUGUAAUGAGACAUUUUCACUUUCUAGUACUUUUAGCAAGGAUUUAACAUAUUCAAAAGCUUGGUUGCUACUUUCAAGGCAUUGAAGUGAUCAGAGAGUAUCCUAACGAUGACGGGUUCCAUUGAAAGAAGACAUUUCAAGUGCUUUUGAACAUUAUUUGUUAUUUAUUGUUUGUAAAGUUGUAGCUGCUGCAAUAAAAUGUUGUGUUUCUGACUUA